rnacentral:rRNA from 1 species
AUUGAGCGCUGGCGGCAGGCCUAACACAUGCAAGUCGGACGGUAGCACAGAGAGCUUGCUCUUGGGUGACGAGUGGCGGACGGGUGAGUAAUGUCUGGGGAUCUGCCCGAUAGAGGGGGAUAACCACUGGAAACGGUGGCUAAUACCGCAUAACGUCGCAAGACCAAAGAGGGGGACCUUCGGGCCUCUCACUAUCGGAUGAACCCAGAUGGGAUUAGCUAGUAGGCGGGGUAAGGGCCCACCUAGGCGACGAUCCCUAGCUGGUCUGAGAGGAUGACCAGCCACACUGGAACUGAGACACGGUCCAGACUCCUACGGGAGGCAGCAGUGGGGAAUAUUGCACAAUGGGCGCAAGCCUGAUGCAGCCAUGCCGCGUGUAUGAAGAAGGCCUUCGGGUUGUAAAGUACUUUCAGCGGGGAGGAAGGCGGUGCGGUUAAUAACCGCACCGAUUGACGUUACCCGCAGAAGAAGCACCGGCUAACUCCGUGCCAGCCGCCGCCGUAA